AAUAACCGCAGUCAUAAGUUUUAGUGUCCAACUUUGAUCGUCCGUCUUAUUUAAAAAAAAUUAUUUGUUUUUUUAUUUUUAUUACAUUAUAAAACAUGAAUAUUACUUUAUACAUAACUUAUGUUUUUUAUUUUUUUUAAAAAAAUUCAAAUAAGACAGAUGAUUAAAGUUGGAUACGGAAACUCAUGGUUACACUUAUU
rfam:Oryza rufipogon genomic scaffold, chr06